rnacentral:rRNA from 1 species
UACGAAGGGGGCUAGCGUUGUUCGGAAUUACUGGGCGUAAAGCGCACGUAGGCGGAUUGUUAAGUCAGAGGUGAAAUCCCGGAGCUCAACUUCGGAACUGCCUUUGAUACUGGCAAUCUAGAGUCCGGAAGAGGUUAGUGGAAUUCCCCAGUGUAGAGGUGAAAAUUCGUAGAUAUUGGGAAGAACACCAGUGGCGAAAGGCGGCUAACUGGUCCGGGUACUGACGCUGAGGUGCGAAAGCGUGGGGAGCAAACAGG